GCUCCAGCGAUUUCGAGAAAAGAGGCGAAAUGUGGAGGGAAGCGGCAGGCAGCCGCGGAAUCUAAUUUUAUUUGAGAAGCAUCUCCACGAUUUAUAGUGGGCUUCUCACAGGAAAAAAAAAAAGGCAGUUUUGAAGUUUAUUUCCCUUUCUUUAUAUUGCUUUUACUACCUUUACUAGUCCAAAUUCAAAGCUCAAAAUCAGAGGUGAUUUUAAAACUAUCUUAACGAAUCAUAAAAGUAAGAGCGCACGCGUGCUGCGAGAUUUAUAAUGCUGAUCUGCAUUUCGUUCUACAAAGUUGCAAAGUGUGCAGGAAGCUUCCGGCUGAUGAGAGAAAAAGCUUCCUGAAAUAUAAAUUCCAGAUCCCUGUGCUUCUCCUCGCGGCACCAGCCUGGAAGCAGCUUCCAGCCAACCCCAGAGUGUUUGAGCACACUCUACUGCCAAGGUGACCGGGGUAUGUGUGCAAAGCCUGGUCACCAGCAACUGGAGGAUCCAGAAAGAAACUGUGUUCUCCGUGGUUUACCCAAGAUGAGCAAACAAGAGUGACACGGAUUCUUCUGAAGUGGACAACGUUUCCCACUUCCCACGACUGAUAUUGUAGGACCAAGGAAAAGAAACCCUGCCUCUCCUUUCUACCCGACACGGUAGUUAAGGAAACUCCAAAUAACAUUCUCAUCUUGAACCUCAUGGCAACCCAAAGUGAGAAGAAGCUGAGUGAUGUCAGUUACACUGCUCAGAGUCACUGGCAAUGACCGAAGGCUCAGGAUUUGGACGCAGGCCUGACGUUACAGGUGCGGCCCUUGCCCCAGGCACCAGCAGGACCCUCAGCCAUGGCAGGCAUCCAAGGCCACCCUUGCUGUAUUUGAAGAGGACUAGCCAGUUAUUCAGCGAACACUGGUCUUACUGUAAGCUCAGCUGUGUCCCUUUAAAGCCUACCAAAAGGUAACAGCUGUGCAGACAGUGGGCCGAUUUCACAUAUAUUAAUAUAAACUCUCCCCCCCAGCCACCCCACCCCCGCCGCGCGCGCGCACAGACACGCGCGCACCCGGGACUCUUUUGUUCCUCUUUAACUUGUCUUCCCAAUGAACACAGGAGAAUGGAAGAUGUUGGUAAAACAGGCUAUGCCGGCACUCAAAUUUAUUUAUCGAAGAGCUAAGUACCUCUACAUAUAAGUUACAGCAAAUUGUUUUGUUGCCAACUGAUAAAAUACCUAAACACAAGCUUUGAUUUCCUCAGCUGUCAAAUGGAUUGAACAGCGCCUGCCCUUCCUAUCCUUUCCGUGUCACAGGGUUGUUUAGGGAUCGACUGAAACAAGGAGGGUGUGAGCUUACAGACGGCUCUUCACGUAGGUAAGAUGCUGUGAAGUGCAACCCCCGAGGCCGGGCCUCGGGCCUCAGUGGACUCCCCCGGGAGCCGGGACAGGCUAAGCCCAGCGCCCACGCGGACCUGACGUGAUUGUGGCCGCCCGUGCCUAGCAGAAAUUCCCGGGUGCCGGCACUGCAGAUCCAAGAUCACAGCCCCGCAGCAGCCAUAAAAGCCGUAAAGGAGAUCAAAAUCGGCACCAGCGGCCAGCCUGAGGAUGAAGUCCUCGACGGGCGCGCGCAGUUGGGCGCGAACCACCCCACAGGCACGCGCGGGCGGCGGCGGCGCGGGCUUGGCCCCCACGCCCGGCCCGGCCCGGCUCGCCGCUCACGUAGCGAGAGCGUGAGUCAGCGCGCUCGGCCGCACCCCUGAGCCCAGGCAGGGUUCCCUGGAACCGCGCCGGCCGCCGGCACGUCCCGCCGCCCUGCUCUGCAAGGCUGAGCGGCCGAGCGGCCGAGCGGCCGUCCGCGUGGGCGGCAGCAGUCGGGACGGCCACGCAGCUGUGGGGCUCGCCUUCCCCCCGCGGACCUUCCCCACUCGCCCCCACCCCCACCCCCGCGCUGGCCGGCCCGGAAGGAGGGGCGGCGGGGGAGGGGGGCGAGGAUGGGGCCUGGGACGGUGGUCCUGCGCCAGCGGGAACUCGACCUUCGUGUCCCUGUGUGCUUUCCUUUGAGCCACACACUCGCCUGCUCACGU